CUCGCAUUUUUCAGGUCUCGUCUCACCUAACCGAUUGAUCUAAUUUUACGCCUGCAGCAGACAAAACACGCAAAUCUCAAGUUUCUCAAGUUCAUCAUUAUCCUACUUUCCCUAAAAUAUUUUUACUGGAUAGAAGCGAGAUCAGAUUAUCCAGCGUGUCCAUAUCCGCAAGUGAAGUGAAAGUUCUCUCUCUCUCGCUUUCUCUCUCGAAUUGUCCUGUUCUGCAGUCGUACGAGCUGUCUUUUCACGGAAUAAGGCAGAGAUCCGUACGUACGUACUUAUGUGCACACACACUCACGUACACACACUUUCUCCUCUUCUUUCCUGGGUCAACCUUCACUUCCAGUCCAACCAACUCUCUCAGCCUCACUUUCUUUCUCGUCCUUAGUCUCAUCUUCGCCUCCCAAGUGAACUGUCACGUUUUUCACUUCUCCUUUCAUAAAAUUCUCUCCACGAGUCAGUCAUCCAGUGAGGAGGAAAAUAUGCCUCACGACUUUCACUCCAACCUGUAAACAACUCAUUUUAUCGUCACGUACUCCGAACCAGUCUAAUGAUGACGGUUAGUUAGCCGUAAUAAUAGUUUACACGUCCCCGACAUGAAAAUUUUCUCCGUUUGGAAGUAGAUAAAAGACUUUGUGUUUCUAGUUUUUAGAAGUGUUUGCACUGUUAAUUAGGACAUAUUUGUGCUCCUGUGAACUUAAUUGUGGUCGAAUUUCAACUUAAGGUGUGAUUAGAAAGCAAAUAGUGUGGGGAUGCGUGAAAUCGGUAAUUGUUUACACAGAAAUACAUCUAAUCUCCCAGCAUAGAAAGUGUACUCGUCUACUUUCUCUUGUCCUCGCAUUUCGUCAAUCAUCACAGCAGUCGUAUUUUCACCACGUGUAAACAUCUACAACAUCCUGAUCAACUUUGACCUUCUUUUCACCACCACCAACACAAACCACCAACAAUAAUUCGAACAAAUAAUACACUCACCGCAAAAUUUUAUCAAAAUUCAUUCGUGCCCCAAAAUUUCCCUCCGUACUAUUUGAUAACCACAAUGUGCUCUUGAAUGCCAGGAGUUCAGUGGUUGUUCAGCUGAAUCACAAGUUUCUCAAAGAUUUCAUUGGUCCGACCACAAAGCAUUUCUUCAUCUCAAAGAAAAUGAAUUUCAAGUCUUGCGGAACACUUUUCAUGUUUUUCGUCGCAUGUGAAGUUCUCCUACUUUGCUUUUGCUGCUGCGAUGGGGCGAAAAUCCCGACCUCCACCCGCCCACCGAUCACACCCACCGUCGACCCGAAAACCCAACCUGGUCGAGUGACACAAACUUUUACGGGGAACGAAAGCAGUUGGGUACCAGGCGUUUCAGCUGCAGUCAUCGUCAUCAUCGUCUUUCUCAUCUCACUCUUCGCCUGCUGUAUCCAUUGUCCGUUUUGCAUCGUCUACAAGAGGAACGCAAGUCAACGAAUCAUCUAAACUUAAUUAUCAACGAAGGAGAGGAUGGAUGGAAUAAAAUGCAAAUGAAUGUUGUACUUAAACUAGCAAAGUCUGACCAGACCAAGCACAAUGCAAUCUCAUUAACCGGGUUGCAUAAGUUGGUUGCAUUGCAUUUCUUACUGCAUUUCUUGCCAGGGGUGGCCAACACAUUUGAUUGCUUUAUCCUCUGUAAUACGAUAGCUUAUUCAUUCACUCCUUGUGAAUAGCACUUGUUGUAAACGUGAAGCCAAUCUCACUCAAGUCUCCGGCCAACCAUAAAGGUCGAAGUAUUUAACUCGAUUCAUUCAACAGUAAUGGUAAAACUUUGGUAAAAACAAAUACAGAAUUUUAAUUGGACGGGAUACGAUCUGAUUUGUGAAAUAAAUAGCACAGUAAUUCUGCCAGGAAAAUGGAAGAAAAUUAAAAUGUUGAUUUCGCAAGCGAAGCCUUUUUCUUGUUCUUCCUCCCAGAAGCAGCGGUAGAAACGUCGAGAAAGAGAAAAAUAGGGCUAUAUUCACGAAUAAAAAUUCAGUAAGAGGAGAAGAAAUGAGACAACAUGAAGAAAAUAUUUAAGUAUUGAGGAGUAUGACAUAUCUAACAAGGGAACAUACCGAGGUGUCCAACGAGUUAAGGGUCGACACCUAUACCAAAAUGAC